CGCCAGGAUGAUGAUCAUUUGAGUACAUAAUGCACUUCAUCUUCGCUGCCACUGCCCCUUGCGGAAGUCGGACUCCAUGAGGGUACAGAGCAUCGACAAAGGUUGAAUUGGGGAAAUAAGAUCUGUUUCGAUGAGUUCUGUCAUUGAGUGAGAAUGAAAUUUUAUUCCCUUUUGGAGUUGAUAAACACACGGGUCGAUCUUUCUG
rnacentral:misc_RNA from 1 species